CUUCCGUAGGUGAACCUGCGGAGGGAUCAUUACACAAAUAUGAAGGCGGGCUGGAACCUCUCGGGGUUACAGCCUUGCUGAAUUAUUCACCCUUGUCUUUUGCGUACUUCUUGUUUCCUUGGUGGGUUCGCCCACCACUAGGACAAACAUAAACCUUUUGUAAUUGCAAUCAGCGUCAGUAACAAAUUAAUAAUUACAACUUUCAACAACGGAUCUCUUGGUUCUGGCAUCGAUGAAGAACGCAGCGAAAUGCGAUAAGUAGUGUGAAUUGCAGAAUUCAGUGAAUCAUCGAAUCUUUGAACGCACAUUGCGCCCUUUGGUAUUCCAAAGGGCAUGCCUGUUCGAGCGUCAUUUGUACCCUCAAGCUUUGCUUGGUGUUGGGCGUCUUGUCUCUAGCUUUGCUGGAGACUCGCCUUAAAGUAAUUGGCAGCCGGCCUACUGGUUUCGGAGCGCAGCACAAGUCGCACUCUCUAUCAGCAAAGGUCUAGCAUCCAUUAAGCCUUUUUUCAACUUUUGACCUCGGAUCAGGUAGGGAUACCCGCUGAACUUAAGCAUAUCAAUAAGCGGAGGA
rnacentral:rRNA from 1 species